GACGAACGCUGGCGGCGUGCCUAAUACAUGCAAGUCGACCUUAGUGGCGAACGGGUUAUUAACACGUGGGUAACCUGCCCAUCUGAAGGGGAUAACACUUGGCAACUGGUGCUUAUCCCGUAUACUGUUUUAUUUACCCGCGGUGAAUUAGCUAGUUUGGGCGGUCACGGCUCACCAAGGCCACGAUGCAUAGCCGAGCUGAGAGGGUGAUCGGCCACAGUGGGACUGAGACACGGCCCAAACUCCUACGGGAGGCAGCAGUAGGGAAUCUUCGGCAAUGGACGAAAGUCUGACGCAGCAACGCCGCGUGAGUGAAGAAGGUUUUCGGUUCGUAAAGCGCUGUUGUUAGAGAAGCGGUAUCUAACCAGAAAGCAACGGCUAACUACGUGCCAGCAGCCGCGGUAAUAC
rnacentral:rRNA from 1 species